rnacentral:rRNA from 1 species
GACGAACGCUGGCGGCGUGCUUAACACAUGCAAGUCGAACGGAAAGGCCCUGCUUUUGUGGGGUGCUCGAGUGGCGAACGGGUGAGUAACACGUGAGUAACCUGCCCUUGACUUGGGGAUAACUUCAGGAAACUGGGGCUAAUACCGGAUAGGAGCGCCUGCUGCAUGGUGGGGGUUGGAAAGUUUCGGCGGUUGGGGAUGGACUCGCGGCUUAUCAGCUUGUUGGUGGGGUAGUGGCUUACCAAGGCUUUGACGGGUAGCCGGCCUGAGAGGGUGACCGGCCACAUUGGGACUGCGGUACGGCCCAGACUCGUACGGGAGGCAGCAGUGGGGAAUAUUGCACAAUGGGCGGAAGCCUGAUGCAGCAACGCCGCGUGCGGGAUGACGGCCUUCGGGUUGUAAACCGCUUUCGCCUGUGACGAAGCGUGAGUGACGGUAAUGGGUAAAGAAGCACCGGCUAACUACGUG